rnacentral:misc_RNA from 1 species
ACCAUAUGAUUUCUUAAUACAUUUUGAUUAGGUUCUACUUCCUCUCCAUCCUCUUUUUUUCCAUCUUCUCUUUUUAUUAGGUAUUUCUAGGGUUUGAAUCUUUUCUGUCAACCUUCCAAAUUCUAACAAAAUUUCUUUAUUUUUACAAACCUUGUUGAUUUUUCAAUUCUUCCACUAACUUACUACGAUAUUGGUGUAAUUUUUGCUAAUUUUUGUUUAAGAAUCCUAACUAUCUGAAAUAAAAAUUAAAAUCUGGGUCAGAACUUUAGUUAACUGGGGAAUUUAUGAGAUUAAAAAUGAUCCCAUAUAAGAUGAAGGUUUUUAAUUUCUUUGCUGGGGAACUUAAGCAUUAAACCAAAAUUUUCAAUUCUUUAUGUUUCCUAUUCAUGUUCAGCCACUGCUCAACAACUUUGUUAUCUCAAGAAGCUGCAUGAUUCUGGUAUAAGAAUAUCAGAAGGAACUCUAUCAUGUACUAUAACCUUCCAGAAAAUCUUGAUGUAUUAACUGUAAACUAGUAAUUGCAGUUGGAAGUUUUUGUUUACCAAAGGGUAGGAGGCAGAUGCACAUCAUUUUGUGCUAGGAGUGAGUGAAGUUGGGAACUGCUACUUUUUCUCUAAUGUAGCAAUACUUGACGUUAUUGCAGACUUUUAUCCGAGGUUUAUGAUUGUUGGUUGGAUUGCUACUUUGUUUGUGAGUGUUGGUUGGAUAUUUGUCUGCAAUUGCUCAUAGUUAUAGCAAUGAUGUGUAGGUAUAGUAAGUUCUUGAAAUUAUGUUUUCUGUUGGUGGUAGUAGUUAAGACUUAAAAGAGUAAAGAUUGUUAAGAAAGGAAAAAGUGGAUACUGGAAAUGGUUCCUUUACUGUUCUUUGUAUUUGGUUGGAAAUCAAGAAGAUGUUUCAACUGUCUGUCCUUCAGUAAGAUUGUUUGCUCAAUUGGCUAUUUGUUUUCUUCACUUCUUACUGAUAUUAGACCUCAUUAGCUUUA